rnacentral:rRNA from 1 species
CCUACGGGAGGCAGCAGUGAGGAAUAUUGGUCAAUGGGCGUAAGCCUGAACCAGCCAAGUCGCGUGAGGGAUGAACACAAUGACGGUAUCACAAUAGCAAGCCACGGCUAACUACGUGCCAGCAGCCGCGGUAAUACGUAGGUGGCAAGCGUUAUCCGGAAUGACUGGGCGUAAAGGGUGGGUAGGUGGUUUAGUAAGUUGGUGGUGUAAUCCCGGGGCUCAACCUCGGGGUUACCGCAAAAACUAUUAAACUAGAGUGCAGGAGAGGUAAGUGGAAUUCCUAGUGUAGCGGUGGAAUGCGUAGAUAUUAGGAAGAACACCAGGGGCGAAGGCGACUUACUGGACUGUAACUGACACUGAGGCACGAAAGCGUGGGGAGCAAACAGGAUUAGAUACCCUUGUAGUC